UACAGAGGUCCCAAGCGUUGUUCGGAUUCACUGGGCGUAAAGGGUGCGUAGGUGGCAGGGUAAGUUUGAUGUGAAAUCUCCGAGCUCAACUCGGAAACUGCAUUGAAUACUAUCCUGCUUGAGGAUUGGAGGGGAGACUGGAAUUCUCGGUGUAGCAGUGAAAUGCGUAGAUAUCGGGAGGAACACCGGUGGCGAAGGCGGCGAUCUGGGUCGAUACUGACGCUGAGGUGCGAAAGCGUGGGGAGCAAACAGG
rnacentral:rRNA from 1 species